AACAGACCCAGGCUCUUGGUAGGCGGUGUCUGAAGGUCGGGGGUGUGAUGAAAAGUGGCAAUAAUAGUCAUAAUAAACAUAAUGGAACUAGGACUAGAAAUAGAUGUUCAGGGCGUAGCAGGGCGUAACAGGGUG